UACGAAGGGGGCUAGCGUUGCUCGGAAUGACUGGGCGUAAAGGGCGCGUAGGCGGUUUGUACAGUCAGAUGUGAAAUUCCCGGGCUUAACCCGGAAACUGCCUUUGAUACUAUCUGUCUUGAAUAUGGUGGAGGUAAGCGGAAUAUGUCAUGUAGCGGUGAAAUGCUUAGAGAUGACAUAGAACACCCAUUGCGAAGGCAGCUUACUACGCCUAUAUUGACGCUGAGGCACGAAAGCGUGGGGAUCAAACAGG
rnacentral:rRNA from 1 species